AAACUCAAAGGAAUUGACGGGGGCCCGCACAAGCGGAGGAGCAUGUGGUUUAAUUCGAUGAUACGCGAGGAACCUUACCUGGGCUUAAAUGUUUAACGACAGUCCCCGAAAGGGGAUCUUUCUUCGGAACGCUUUGCAAGGUGCUGCAUGGUUGUCGUCAGCUCGUGCCGUGAGGUGUCGGGUUAAGUCCCAUAACGAGCGCAACCCCUAUUCUUAGUUGCCAUCAGGUAAUGCUGGGAACUCUAAGAAAACUGCCUACGCAAGUAGUGAGGAAGGUGGGGAUGACGUCAAAUCAGCACGGCCCUUAUGUCCAGGGCUACACACGUGCUACAAUGGCCGGCACAGAGGGUCGCUACCUGGCAACAGGAUGCUAAUCUCGAAAUCCGGUCUCAGUUCGGAUCGAAGUCUGCAACUCGACUUCGUGAAGUUGGAUUCGCUAGUAAUCGCAUAUCAGCCAUGGUGCGGUGAAUACGUUCCCGGGCCUUGUACACACCGCCCGUCAAGCCAUGGAAGUUGGGGGUACCUAAAGUCUGUAACCGCAAGGACCGGCCUAGGGUAAAACCAAUGACUGGGGCUAAGUCGUAACAAGGUA
rnacentral:rRNA from 1 species